UACGUAGGGUGCGAGCGUUAAUCGGAAUUACUGGGCGUAAAGCGUGCGCAGGCGGUUCGCCAAGUCAGGUGUGAAAUCCCCGGGCUUAACCUGGGAAUGGCAUUUUGAACUGGCAAUCUAGAGUGUGUCAGAGGGGGGUAGAAUUCCACGUGUAGGAGUGAAAAGCGUAGAGAUGUGGAAGAAUAACGAUGGCGAAGGCAGCCCCCUGGGAUAACACUGACGCUCAUGUACGAAAGCGUGGGUAGCAAACAGG
rnacentral:rRNA from 1 species